CACGUGAGCCUCAAGCGUUACCCGGAUUCACUGGGCGUAAAGGGUGUGCAGGUGGCUAUGUUAGUCGUUCGUUAAAUCCCGUGGCUUAACCGCGGGUGUGCGAGCGAAACGGCACAGCUAGAGGAUGCGAGAGGUCUGCGGAACUCAUGGUGUAGGGGUGAAAUCCGUUGAUAUCAUGGGGAACACCGAAAGCGAAGGCAGCAGACUGGCGCACUCCUGACACUGAGACACGAAAGCGUGGGUAGCGAACGGG
rnacentral:misc_RNA from 1 species